rnacentral:lncRNA from 1 species
CCGCCAUGGCAGGUGGGUGAAAGACCCGAGCUAACAUGGGGUUAGCUGGUUAAAUUACAAUAAAGCCUCAUGCAGUUUGCAGCAAGCUCUUGAAUCCGCCUGGUGAUUGGGGUGACCGCAGUCGUGGCCUGGGACCCUGGAUACCUGAGUUUUCCGGGGGUCUAACAGUUUCAAGGGGCAUUGAGUCCCAGAGACUGGUUCCAGCCAAAGAUGGGUACAGUUUUCCUUGCCUUCAGGGAAUCCUAAGACAGAACACGCAUGAUGGAAUGCGUGAUUCCAUGACGGGCACCCCUGAGUUUUCAGGUGAUUGCUAUGGCAACCGGCAGCUCCUCUCUACAUGUCUGGCAUCCCUGUCCUUGGAUCUGUGAAGGUUCUUGAGAAGUGGCAUGAUCCUAAACACACUUGGAAACGUCUUUAUACCCUUGAAUGAUAGUUUGGCUGGUUAUUGAAAUCAAAAU